GACUUGCGUGUGCCAACCAAGGUCACGGGGAUCAUCACCCAGGGAGCUAAAGACUUUGGUCAUGUCCAGUUUGUUGGCUCAUACAAAUCGCUUACAGUAAUGAUGGAGAGCGGUGGAGUGUAUAUCAAGAUGAGAAGCAAGGGAAGGAUAAGGUAUUCCAGGGGAACUUUGACAACGACACGCACAGAAAGAACGUGAUAGACCCACCAUCUACGCCCGGCUCGUCCGGAUCCUUCCCUGGUCAUGGUAUGGCAGGAUCACUUUGCGUGUAGAAAUACUCGGAUGCACAGAGGAAGAGUGAAGUCCUUUCCUCCGUCUUUCUCGCCAUCAUCCCCUGUCCCUCGGCAUACUGGAGCGUCAGCGCUUCAGAAAUAAACUGUGCAACCUGUAAAAAGAAAUCAAUUUCCAAUGGAUUUUUUCAAGAAUAAGUGUUUGGUUGUGGUGGGUUGCUGUUUGUUCUUUUGUACAAUGAUUUAAAAACCUACCCCCCCCCCCCCGUUCCACUUUUGUCUUUUCGUUUCCUAUUUAAAGCGUGAUCCUUGUCUUUUUAUUCCUUCUCAAGAUUUGCCAUCGCUGUUUGGAAUGAACUUCUAUAAUAUAUAUUGGAGGGGUGGGAUUGGGGAGCGGAGUCACAACGGGGGUCUCACUGUGGUUUUACCUUGUUGCCAUGGAAGCUAUUGUACAGUGUCACUUUUUAACAAAGAUGUGAAAUCUG